rnacentral:rRNA from 1 species
UAGGGAAUCUGCGGCAAUGGACGAAAGUCUGACCGAGCAACGCCGCGUGAGUGAAGAAGGUUUUCGGAUCGUAAAACUUUGUUGGUAGAGAAGAACAAGGACGUUAGUAACUGAACGUCCCCUGACGGUAUCUAACCAGAAAGCCACGGCUAACUACGUGCCAGCAGCCGCGGUAAUACGUAGGUGGCAAGCGUUGUCCGGAUUUAUUGGGCGUAAAGCGAGCGCAGGCGGUUUCUUAAGUCUGAUGUGAAAGCCCCCGGCUCAACCGGGGAGGGUCAUUGGAAACUGGGAGACUUGAGUGCAGAAGAGGAGAGUGGAAUUCCAUGUGUAGCGGUGAAAUGCAUAGAUAUAUGGAGGAACACCAGUGGCGAAGGCGGCUCUCUGGUCUGUAACUGACGCUGAGGCUCGAAAGCGUGGGGAGCAAACAGG